rnacentral:rRNA from 1 species
UGGAGAUGUGUGGGGUUUAGGCCCAGGGGUAUUAUUGGUGUUUAUGCACUGGUGAUUACCCUGAGCAGUAUUGUUUUAAAAUGGAUUGAACGAGAGAGUUUGAUCCUGGCUCAGAUUGAACGCUGGCGGCAUGCCUAACACAUGCAAGUCGAACGGUAGCAGGCCUUCGGGUGCUGACGAGUGGCGGACGGGUGAGUAAUGCGUAGGAAAUCUGUCUUUUAGUGGGGGACAACCCAGGGAAACUUGGGCUAAUACCGCAUGAGCCCUGAGGGGGAAAGCGGGGGAUCUUCGGACCUCGCGCUAAGAGAAGAGCCUACGUCUG